rnacentral:rRNA from 1 species
UGGGGAAUAUUGGUCAAUGGAGGCAACUCUGAACCAGCCAUGCCGCGUGCAGGAAGACAGCCCUCUGGGUCGUAAACUGCUUUUAUUCGGGAAUAAACCACAUUACGUGUAAUGUGCUGAAUGUACCGAAGGAAUAAGGAUCGGCUAACUCCGUGCCAGCAGCCGCGGUAAUACGGAGGAUCCAAGCGUUAUCCGGAUUUAUUGGGUUUAAAGGGUGCGUAGGCGGCUUAUUAAGUCAGGGGUGAAAGACGGUGGCUCAACCAUCGCAGUGCCCUUGAUACUGAUGAGCUUGAAUACACUAGAGGUAGGCGGAAUGUGACAAGUAGCGGUGAAAUGCAUAGAUAUGUCACAGAACACCGAUUGCGAAGGCAGCUUACUAUGGUGUGAUUGACGCUGAGGCACGAAAGCGUGGGGAUCAAACA